GUGCCAGCCGCCGCGGUAAAACGUAGGGGCCGAGCGUUAUCCGGAUUUACUGGGCGUAAAGCGCCAGCAGGCGGUCUGACAAGUUGGACGUGAAAGCUCCCGGCUUAACUGGGAGAGGUCGUGCAAGACUGUCGGACUUGAGGUUGGAAGAGGGGAGCAGAAUUCCCGGUGUAGUGGUGGAAUGCGUAGAUAUCGGGAGGAAUACCAGUGGCGAAAGCGGCUCCCUGGUCCUGACCUGACGCUCAGGGGCGAAAGCGUGGGGAGCGAACGGGAUUAGAUACCCGUGUAGUCC
rnacentral:rRNA from 1 species